AGCUUCAUGGCGCAGUGGAAGCGCGCCGGGCUCAUAGCCCGGAGGUUCUCCGAUCGAAACGGAGUGAAGCUG
rnacentral:tRNA from 1 species